UCCUGUAAUAUAUUCACAAACAGACUCAGUUAUAUCACAGUGAACCAGAAAGCGCAAUAACUCCCAUGCGUUUGACCUGGGCCUCUUCUUUUAAACUAAAAGGUGGCGAGGGCUUGGAUAUGUCCGGUCGUUUAGGUUUUCUUCUUCUUCUUCUUUCAGUCUCGGUUCUCGUCUUCCCUGCAAGUCUUUGUUUGUGUUUUUCUAUUUAUU
rnacentral:misc_RNA from 1 species